GAGCGCUGGUCCCGUUCACACUGACUGUGAAGAGCCGAGCCACACGGCCCCCCGGGCCCCCUGCUGGAGGAAACCGUACAAUUUAUCUGUCACUGGUCUACCUCUGUGGUCUUCUCAUAAGCCUGGGAACAGUUUUCAUAAUCUACUGUCGUCGGAGACGUCAAGGUGAUGCACAGACCCCAGAUGACUCCAAUUAUAAUGCAGUGCAUUUUUAAAUGAAA